UUGAAGUUCAGGUAACACUGAAUGGAGGACCGAACCGACUUACGUUGAAAAGUGAGCGGAUGAACUGAGGGUAGCGGAGAAAUUCCAAUCGAACCUGGAGAUAGCUGGUUCUCUCCGAAAUAGCUUUAGGGCUAGCCUCAAGUGAUGAUUAUUGGAGGUAGAGCACUGUUUGGACGAGGGGCCCCUCUCGGGUUACCGAAUUCAGACAAACUCCGAAUGCCAAUUAAUUUAACUUGGGAGUCAGAACAUGGGUGAUAAGGUCCGUGUUCGAAAGGGAAACAGCCCAGACCACCAGCUAAGGUCCCAAAA
rnacentral:rRNA from 1 species